CAAAACUCCUCCUGUCCAGACGGUUUCAUUUACGAAUAGAUUAAGCAUGUUUAACCUGCCUUCAAAUCUGCAACUUUCCAGGGUUUUUACUUUCCCCUGUUCAGCGGCUCUCCAACUGGCAACCAUACGACAUUAGUGAAGAAUUGUCUCAACCCUGAAGCUUAAUCUACUGAAAAGGCUAUUGCUGUCGAACAAUUUUCAACUAUUGUUGAUUCUGAUUGUAGUGAAGUGACACAUGACUUAGCGGUUGACACUUUAUUACACUCAAGCAGAUGAAGCGGCUAAGAACAUUUGGCCGGUCAAUCUAGUUGUAUAAGAGAGGUGUGAAUUUGGGUUGAGCAAGAAGCUAGUGCGACUUGUGGUAGAGUUGCGACCAGGAGAGCUCUUUGGCCAAGAGAGUUGCGACCUGUGAUAGAGCAAGAGUGCAACCUCUGAAAGACUAAGGGACAAGAAGUAGGUGAGACCUGGAGGACUAGUCCAACAAGAGCAGGUGUGAUCCCUUGAAGCUAGUAGAAGAAGAGGUAUUAUAUACGCGUGGGCAGCUUUUGACUGGGGGUAUAAGUCAAAGUCUAGAGGUAAAACUCCUUUGCUUUAAGUAUGGCCAUAACAAGGGAGAUUCUCCUAAAAUAAGAAGAAAUCUAGUGAUAAGGAUGUUGAUGGAAAUGUAGAUGCAGGUUGUAGAUAUCAUAUGACUCCUAAUAAGAAUCUCCUAAUUAAUUUUCAGGGACAAGAAGCUGGGAGAGUACUUAUCUUGCAAAAUUAAUUUGUUUGAGAGCUUGGAAAGUAGAUUAGAGAACCAUGUUAUCCCAUCCUUUAUACUUGCUUCCGUAACUAUCUUCAAUCUAAAGGAAACAAUAGUACAUAUGCUAAAAGCUUCGACCUAUAAAUUGUUGUGAUCUUUAAAAUCGUCUUACUCCUAAAGUCAAUAAUUUGCGAAACAGUGGUGUGCUACAAUUGGCCUAUGGCUCUUUUAUGCUACUCUCAUUUGAAAGAGUUGUGGACUUUGUAAAGAAAAUGAGUUUCGAUCCAUUUAGGUCACAGUUUGUUGUAGCCAUUUCCAUUACCAUUAUGUUGUUAACUCAAAAUUUUAAGUGGGAUAACAAGUUUGAUAUUUACAAGCGGUGGGGUUGGUCUGAAGAAGAGAUUCUAACAGCAUUUGGCAAACACCCUUUGUGUAUGAUGACAUCAAAUAAUAAGAUUAUGGCUGUGAUGGACUUUCUUGUGAACAAUAUUGGUUGGGAGCCUUCUACCAUUGCUCAGCGGCCAAUUCUUUUUUCAUUCAGCAUGGAGAAGAGAAUUAUACGUUGUGCUUCAGUUCUUUAGUAUCUGUUAGCCCAAAGGUUUGCUUAAGACCAGAUUUACGUCAUUUAGGCCAUAUAACAUUUGUGAUGAAGCAUUCCUGCAGAAGUUCAUGAAUUGCUAUGAUGAAGCUGUACAAAGAGAAGCUGGAUUUUUCGAAGAUGAUCAAGUGAUCAACAAAUAGAGGUAGGCACGUGUUCUUUCUGAUAUGGUUACUUCAGAAUGGUCCAAAUUCUGUGUCACUUGAUUUUGUGAAAUUCUUUGUUUUCAGGCUUUCUAUAGUCGAAUCAGGAGCAUAUAUUCCUGACUAAUUUUGGUUUACUGUUGAUUUUUUUAGCUAUUAGUAUAUUGUGAUAGGAAUGCAGCAAUUGUGACAAGUUUGCAUGAGAUUCUGAAUGGAUGCUCUCCUUCUGUAGCACUUGAUCUUAUUUUCAGAUUUACUUCAAUUGAAGCCAAAAAGAGCUUCAUUCCA